rnacentral:rRNA from 1 species
UACGUAGGGUGCGAGCGUUGUCCGGAAUUAUUGGGCGUAAAGGGCUCGUAGGCGGUUUGUCGCGUCGGGAGUGAAAACCAGGUGCUUAACACCUGGCUUGCUUUCGAUACGGGCAGACUAGAGGUAUGCAGGGGAGAACGGAAUUCCUGGUGUAGCGGUGAAAUGCGCAGAUAUCGGGAGGAACACCGGUGGCGAAGGCGGUUCUCUGGGCCUUACCUGCGCUGAGGAGCGAAAGCGUGGGGAGCGAACAGG